AAAUCUUGCGCAAUGGGCGAAAGCCUGACGCAGCAACGCCGCGUGUGUGAUGAAGGUCUUCGGAUCGUAAAGCACUGUCGCGAGGGACGAGACGCCAUUGGCUAACAUCCAGUGGCUACGACGGUACCUCGAGAGGAAGCACCGGCUAACUCUGUGCCAGCAGCCGCGGUAAUACAGAGGGUGCAAGCGUUGUUCGGAAUUAUUGGGCGUAAAGCGCUUGUAGGCGGCCUGUCAAGUCGCGUGUGAAAUCCCCAGGCUUAACCUGGGAAGUGCGCGCGAAACUGGCGGGCUUGAGUGCCGGAGAGGGUCGCGGAAUUCCCGGUGUAGAGGUGAAAUUCGUAGAUAUCGGGAGGAACACCAGUGGCGAAGGCGGCGACCUGGACGGACACUGACGCUGAGACGCGAAAGCGUGGGGAGCAAACAGGAUUAGAUACCCUGGUAGUCCACGCUGUAAACGAUGGAUGCUAGCUGUGGCGGGUUUUGACCCCUGCCGUGGCGCAGCUAACGCAAUAAGCAUCCCGCCUGGGAAGUACGGCCGCAAGGCUAAAACUCAAAGGAAUUG
rnacentral:rRNA from 1 species